GAAGAAACGCGAUUGGUGCCGAUCACAACCCUGGUGAUUCCACAACACACAGUCUGGCAGCGGGCGAGAGCAGCCAAGCCGCAACUCAAACACAUGUUUAAAUUACCUAUUUAGAAAGACUGUUUGAGGAUUUAGCGACUUUAAAACGAGCGGGCGAGCGUGAUAGUCUUCAACUGGUCUGGUGCCGAUAUAAAUUCUUGUUGAACGGUAUCGCCAAAGAGCUAGCGGAACACAGCCGGCGAAUUCAAGCUGAGGCAACGUAGCUUUAGCUUGUUAGCUUCUGGUUAGCAAAGCGACCCGCUAAUUCGUUCGCUCUCGGCGUACACCUGCGUCCCACGCUGUCCCGUGUACAACUACCUGGCAGCUUACGCUCCUCGCUGUGGACUUUCGCUCGUUUUUCUUUUUAAACGAGUGUGGAAACACCGGGUGGAGGAACAGGAACCGAGCCCGGUUAAAGGUUAGGAGCAGAGGGAACAAGCUGUGUUCUCGAGUGGCCGUUCACCAUGGACAACGCACACACGAAGACGGUGGAGGAAGUUUUCAGCUUUUUCAACGUAAAUGAGAGCACAGGUCUGAGUUUAGAGGAGGUAAAGAAACAACGGGAGCGAUUUGGACCUAACGAAUUGCCAGCAGAGGAGGGCAAAUCUCUUUGGGAGCUGGUGAUUGAACAGUUUGAAGAUCUGCUUGUGAGGAUCCUUUUACUUGCUGCCUGUAUAUCCUUUGUUCUGGCCUGGUUUGAAGAGGGAGAAGAAACCGUCACAGCCUUUGUGGAGCCUUUUGUUAUCUUGCUUAUUCUCAUAGCAAAUGCCAUCGUAGGAGUCUGGCAGGAGCGAAAUGCAGAAAAUGCCAUUGAAGCUUUGAAGGAAUAUGAGCCAGAGAUGGGGAAGGUGUAUCGCCAGGACAGGAAAAGCGUUCAGAGAAUCAAAGCCAGGGACAUUGUGCCUGGCGACAUCGUGGAAGUUGCUGUUGGUGAUAAAGUGCCUGCAGACAUCAGGCUGACUUCUAUAAAGUCGACCACCCUGAGGGUAGAUCAGUCGAUUCUUACAGGAGAGUCUGUAUCGGUGAUCAAGCACACAGAUCCAGUUCCAGAUCCACGAGCCGUCAACCAGGACAAAAAAAACAUGCUGUUUUCUGGCACCAACAUCGCAGCAGGUAAAGCUGUAGGUGUGGUGGUGGCCACAGCCGGCAACACAGAGAUCGGCAAAAUCCGAGAUGAGAUGGCGUCCACAGAGCAGGAGCGCACGCCCCUGCAGCAGAAGCUGGAUGAGUUUGGGCAGCAACUAUCAAAGGUCAUCUCAUUGAUCUGCAUUGCUGUUUGGAUCAUCAAUAUCGGACAUUUUAAUGACCCGGUCCAUGGAGGCUCUUGGAUCCGAGGUGCAGUCUAUUAUUUCAAGAUCGCGGUGGCUCUGGCAGUCGCUGCUAUUCCUGAGGGUCUGCCUGCUGUCAUCACUACCUGUCUGGCUUUGGGAACGCGCCGCAUGGCCAAGAAAAACGCUAUUGUCCGCAGUUUGCCCUCCGUGGAGACCCUUGGCUGUACAUCUGUCAUCUGCUCUGACAAAACUGGGACGCUGACCACCAAUCAGAUGUCUGUCUGCCGGAUGUUUAUUAUUGAUAAAACCGAGGGGGAUCACUGUCCGUUAAAGGAAUUCACUGUUACGGGCUCCACAUACGCUCCAGACGGAGAAGUCUAUCAUAAUGGCAAACCAGUAAAAUGCUCCCACUAUGAUGCCUUGGUUGAGCUGGCCACUAUCUGUGCUCUCUGUAAUGACUCAUCACUGGAUUAUAAUGAGACCAAAGGUGUCUAUGAGAAGGUAGGAGAAGCCACAGAAACAGCGCUGACGUGUCUGGUGGAGAAAAUGAAUGUGUUUGAUACAGACAUUAAAAACCUGUCCACGGUUGAGCGAGCCAAUGCCUGCAACUCUGUCAUCAAGCAGCUCAUGAAGAAGGAAUUCACUUUGGAAUUUUCCAGAGACAGGAAGUCUAUGUCCGUAUACUGCACUCCAAAUAAAGCACGGUCCUCUGUUGGCAAGAUGUUUGUAAAGGGUGCCCCAGAGGGAGUUAUUGACAGGUGCACACACAUCCGUGUUGGCAGCAACAAGGUGCCGAUGACCCCUGGCAUCAAGGAGAAGAUCAUGUCUGUGAUCAGAGAGUAUGGGACCGGCAGAGACACUCUGCGCUGCCUGGCUCUGGCGACGCGAGAUAACCCUGUAAACAAAGAGAACCUUGUGUUGGAAGACUCUUCUCGCUUUGUGGAAUAUGAGACUGAUCUGACGUUUGUGGGUUGCGUCGGCAUGCUGGAUCCACCCAGAGCGGAGGUGGCCGCUUCCAUCAGGCUUUGCCGUCUUGCAGGCAUCAGAGUAAUCAUGAUCACCGGAGACAACAAGGGUACAGCAGUAGCCAUCUGCAGACGUAUUGGCAUCUUUGGGGAGGAGGACGAUGUUUCCAGCAUGGCUUUCACUGGCAGAGAGUUUGAUGACCUCUCACCUGCCGCACAGAGAGAUGCUGUGGUCAAGGCUCGUUGCUUCGCUCGCGUUGAGCCAGCACACAAAUCCAAGAUCGUCGAGUAUCUGCAGUCCUACGAUGAGAUCACAGCUAUGACCGGUGACGGAGUGAACGAUGCCCCUGCUCUGAAGAAGGCUGAGAUUGGCAUUGCCAUGGGCUCCGGAACAGCUGUGGCCAAAACUGCGUCGGAGAUGGUGCUGGCUGAUGAUAACUUUUCCACCAUCGUAGCUGCAGUCGAGGAAGGCAGAGCCAUUUAUAACAACAUGAAGCAGUUCAUCAGAUACCUCAUCUCCUCCAAUGUUGGUGAAGUUGUCUGCAUCUUCCUGACUGCAGCUCUGGGUUUCCCAGAGGCACUCAUCCCCGUUCAGCUCCUCUGGGUCAACCUGGUGACUGAUGGGUUGCCCGCCACUGCCUUAGGAUUCAAUCCCCCCGACUUGGACAUCAUGAGCAAACCUCCACGAAAUGCUCGGGAGCCCCUCAUCUCCGGAUGGCUUUUCUUUAGAUACCUUGCCAUUGGAUGUUACGUUGGAGCUGCUACUGUUGGCGCCGCUGCUUGGUGGUUUGUUGCUGCUGAGGAUGGACCAAGGAUCACCUUUUACCAGCUGAGCCAUUUCCUGCAAUGUGGCCCAGAGAACCCCGACUACCAGGGUCUGGACUGUAAGGUUUUUGAGUCCCCUUACCCCAUGACCAUGGCCCUGUCGGUGUUGGUUACUAUAGAGAUGUGCAAUGCCCUCAACAGUGUGUCAGAGAAUCAGUCGCUGCUGCGGAUGCCUCCCUGGGAGAACGUUUGGCUGCUGGGUGCCAUCUGCCUCUCCAUGUCCCUUCACUUCCUCAUCCUCUAUGUGGAGCCACUUCCAAUCAUCUUCCAGAUCACCCCUCUUAACCUCACCCAGUGGCUAAUGGUGCUGAAGAUCUCGCUGCCCGUCAUCCUGCUUGAUGAGCUGCUGAAGUUCGCUGCCAGGAACUACCUGGAGCGCAACAGAGAGCUGGAGAAGCUCCCCAGCUCCAAAGGCUGCUGCCUGUUUGCAUGUAUGGAGGGCAUCUCCUGGCCCUUUGUGGCCAUUUCCCUCCCUCUGGUCCUCUGGAUCUACAGCUCUGACACUAACCUGGCUGACAUGUUCAUGUCCUGACUGACUUGAGCACAACCUCAACUUUUUUCCAUUCCCCCCCUCCCUCAGCCCCCAACUCCACCCCUCACCCACUGCCAUCACCUCCUCCCUUCCUUCUCUCUCUGCCUUCCUAAUUGUUCAUAGUUAGCUAGCUAGCGUGUGUAUGCGUGUGCGUUUGUAGAGUUAGAGUUGUGUGUGCGCGUGUGAGCUUGUGUGCACGAGAAGGACCAACUGUAACUCAUAAAACGCAACAAAUAAUAUAAAAAAAGUUAAAAUUUAAGUCGCCUGUUUGAGGUGGGUCAGGACUUAUGAAUGGCUGAAGCUUUGAAGUGGCUCCCAUUGGGUUGGACUUUGUUGCUGGUUUAAGAGUAAAUAUAGUGUUGCCAGUUCUUUUUUUUUUUUUCCAUUGUCAGUUUUGCCUUUAAGGUAUGUUUUAAAUGUUAGGAUUAUCUGCAUUCUGCCCUACGUCACUACUGUUAGAGAAUUUUGUUUAGGCUCCCCUUCUCCUGAACACGUUAAAAAGUAAAGAUAUCAAAUCAGUUGAUCUGUACAGAGAUUGAACAAUAUUUUAUGCAAUUUUUUUUAAAUGGCUUUGUAAAUUGUUUAAGCAGCGUGGCUUAGAAAAACCGCCUUGAUUUACUUUCUGUUAACCAUUGUGUCUUCAGUAUAAAUUCAAAACUCUCUGAGAGGACAAGCUCCAUUCGGCAGACAAGAAACAAGGGAAAGGUUUGGGAUGCUCGGCUUUAAUAAAAAGGAAAAAUAAAAUCCUGAGAAACAAAAAAAGCUGCAUGCCCUGUGACCAAGCAUGAACUCUAUGUGGUUUCUCAUUUCAAAUUUAAAUGUGUACGCCCACCCCACCUUGUUAAAACAUAAGUAGCUUUGUGGAUUUUUUAUAAUUUUUUUUUUUUUUUACGAUAUUGAUUAAAAAUGAAGUCGGUUUUUCUGCACUAGGCAGAGCACAGCUACCUCAGUAUGAUGAAAAAUGCAUUUUUUUUAAAAUUGUUUUGCUCAUCUCGAGAUGCUUUCCCUCAACACAUCUUGCUAAAAGAUAACAUCUGAGGUGUGCCCCCUACUUGCUUGUGCAGAAAACGAAGAACAUCUUUCUUCCCCUUUAACUUUUUUUAAGGAUGUGUCUUAUUUGUAUUGAUUGUGACAUUCUUUAACUUAAUUUGUUGUGGAGACAGAGCUGGGUGGGGAUGCUUUAUGUUGUCUUAACAUUUCCAUAGUGUUUGAUUCAAAGGACAUCAAAAAAACAUUAUCCUACAAUACUAAUACAAGUUGUCCAAAUGAACAUUGAUUGCAGAUCAAAACCCUAAAUGUUGUUUUUUUUUCUAUAAAAAAGAAAAAAUACACUCACAAUGAACCCUUUGAAUCAAGUGUUUUCUGUCUUUAUUUGUUUGAGACUCAUGGUUAUUACAUUUCAUAUCCAGUGUUUUUGUAUGUGCAUAUAUUCCUAUAACAAUAAUUUAUAAAAAAACGAAUGCUUUAGUUUUUCUGAGUUCAGAUGUUGGAUCAGAUCCUUCAGUAAUUUGCAUUUGUGGAUAUUUUCCAUGUGUGAAAAACUCAACUAAAGCAUGUUUUUAGGUAGAAGCCUGGUUGUUCUCACUGCCUGUGUUUGUCUUAACAAAUGUGUGCUUUUAUUUUCUUCAAUGCCUUCCAUUGGCUCCCCUGUCAUUAGAGUCAGUUUUCAUGAAAGCUUUUGGCAAUCAGAGCAGAAUAAGAAGUUGGGAAUCGUCUUUCCACAAAGUGUGCGCUCACGCAUAAUCUCCCUCACUGCAGACACCGUGAUGACCAGCAGCACACACACACGGGUGAAAAGAACAUGUUUUCAGAAUGCAUACAGUUAUCCUGCUAGUUGUCCCUUUCUCCUCCAACUUCUAACACAAUAAAAUUCCCGCAGUGAGUCACACAUUCCUCUGUGUGCAAAUGCUAAAUUAGGACGAUUAUCCAGCUAUAUGUGCAGGGAUGUCCUGAAAUGCUCCCCUCCUGAGUCCUCCUUGCAUGAAGAAGUUCUUCCAUUGAUAGCUCGUCAGUCGCAUCGGUCACUUUGCAGAAAAAGUGGGUUGAAUGGUCUUAGCUGUACAUCAGUGUACAAAAACAUUCAUGCAUGCGUUUCAGCUGUAUGUAGGCUUUACAAAUUUGUAUUUAUAGAUUCUAAUGUAUAAUACUCUAAUGACUUAAAGAGCGUUUUAAGAAAGAUAAAGAAAAGUUGUAAAAUCACUUUUUAUUGUAAUGGUUUGGGUCAUUUGCACAAUGUUAGACAUGAAUACCUGAUUCAUGCUGAACUUGACUGUGCUUAACCUUAGCAUUUUUUUUAAAAAUAGUAUUUUUUUUUUAUCCCAUCACUUAACGUGAGAAUACCACUUACUCUGCCAGUUAAUUUAAUGAAUUAGCCAAUAGCAUCUAGGUUAGCAGACUGUCGUUCAUUUCACAGUGAACCUGCAAUACAGCUCGUUUGAUUUUUCUUAUUGCCUUGACAUUCCUAUAAUUAUCUAUCUUUAUCAACUGCUGUAAAACUGUGAUUUAAUGUGAGGAACCCUGUAUGGCCUCCUCCUGACACCUGGUAGAAGAACAAUAUUAAUCAUAUGUAAACGUCAAUCAUUACUGAAGGCUGAUAAUGAUUGUACAGUAAAUACAUUACCGAGGUUGUGAUUUCAGGUAAAUAAAAUAAUCUAGUAUUUGA